CCCGUGGGCCUCUGCGCGGCGCUAUUUAGGGGGUCUAACGGAGCGCGUGCGGUCUCUUUUGUCCAAAGCUGGUGACGAAUGUCGGGGCCGGCGCGUCGGAACCGGACUGCGGCGGCGGCGCGGUACGGCCCCGCGCAGAGGAGCGCCCCUCCUGGACGAUGGACACGGCCCGCCCCUCGGACGGGGAGCGGAGCGCCGCUCCAGCGUCUCAUAACCAGUCCUGAGGAAUGCAGUUACUGCCCAGGAUGAGUACAGGUUGUCCUGAUAACUUUUUGCCGUCUAAAGAUGCCAGCUGGUCUCAGGACUCUCAACUCCUGGAAAGAGUUGAAAGUGGAGCAGCUUAUUUCUGUAUGACUGAAAACACUGCAUUAAGGCACUAUUCCCAGCAAGCUACUUGGUUCCAAGAUCCAACAUCUUAUUGGAGGCCAGAAAGAUUUCAGGGUCUCCCUAUGCCAUUCAUGCUGAUCUUGAACUCAUGACAACCCUCCUGCUUCAGCCUCCUGAAUGAGGUUACAGGCAUGUGUCAGCUGCAUCCAGCUGCAAAAAUCAUGUUUCUUCUCAGUCCAAGACAGGUCCCAGGAAAGGACACAGUAUAUACAAGUGGCGUCUGCUAUCUGGGAGAAUUAAUAAGAAGAGACAUUACACUUCACCCUUGCUGUUGAAUGAACUUGGUGUAGGUGUGGAGUCAUGCCCAUCUCAGUAAUAAAGCUGUUUUCUCAA